GUGGUCGGCAAACCAAGGCUC
rnacentral:miRNA from 1 species